UACGAAAGGGGCUAGCGUUGUUCGGAAUUACUGGGCGUAAAGCGCACGUAGGCGGCCUUGUAAGUUGGGGGUGAAAUCCCGGAGCUCAACUCCGGAACUGCCUUCAAGACUGCAAAGCUCGAGGACGCGAGAGGUUAGCGGAAUUCCGAGUGUAGAGGUGAAAUUCGUAGAGAUUCGGAAGAACACCAGUGGCGAAGGCGGCUAACUGGCGCGUUUCUGACGAUGAGGUGCGAAAGAGUGGGGAGCAAACAGG
rnacentral:rRNA from 1 species